UCCACUUCGCGAGGAAUCGAUUACCCGUGAACCUGGUCAGAGCCGGAAGGCAGCAGCCACAGCGGGAAC
rnacentral:SRP_RNA from 1 species